ACAUAUAUAGUUUUGUUCAUACACUUGACGUUUUUUUUAAUCAUACAGCUUCUGUGGGUUAAUCUGAUUAUGGACACUCUCGGAGCAUUGGCUUUGGCUACCGAACCACCCACUGAUCACCUCAUGGGAAGGCCUCCCGUGGGCAGAAAGGAGCCUCUUAUUACCAACAUCAUGUGGAGGAACCUUUUGAUUCAGGUAAAAAAACUCUUUGUAUAUUUGAAAUCACCAACAUACUAAUAUAAAACUCUCAGGCUAUCUAUCAAGUGAGCGUAUUGCUAGUUCUCAAUUUCCGAGGCAUAAGCAUACUUGGCCUCGAGCAUGAAGUUCCUACACAUGCCACCAGAGUGAAGAACACAAUAAUUUUCAACGCCUUUGUUAUCUGCCAAGUAAGUAAACUGAAAGGAAAAGCCUUGAGCAUGUAAACAAGCGCGUAUGUUAAUUUGAUUUUUAUUUUGGUUUUGACAGGCAUUCAACGAGUUCAAUGCUCGAAAACCAGACGAGAAGAACAUCUUCAAAGGCGUUAUCAAGAAUCGUCUCUUCAUGGGAAUAAUAGUCAUAACUCUCGUCCUCCAGGUAUAAUAAUAAUAAUAAUAAGGUUUGAGUUUCUGUUUCUUUUGGCUCGUUUCAAAUCUCUCUCCAACUAAAACACAUAUAUAGUUUUGUUCAUACACUUGACGUUUUUUUUAAUCAUACAGCUUCUGUGGGUUAAUCUGAUUAUGGACACUCUCGGAGCAUUGGCUUUGGCUACCGAACCACCCACUGAUCACCUCAUGGGAAGGCCUCCCGUGGGCAGAAAGGAGCCUCUUAUUACCAACAUCAUGUGGAGGAACCUUUUGAUUCAGGUAAAAAAACUCUUUGUAUAUUUGAAAUCACCAACAUACUAAUAUAAAACUCUCAGGCUAUCUAUCAAGUGAGCGUAUUGCUAGUUCUCAAUUUCCGAGGCAUAAGCAUACUUGGCCUCGAGCAUGAAGUUCCUACACAUGCCACCAGAGUGAAGAACACAAUAAUUUUCAACGCCUUUGUUAUCUGCCAA
rnacentral:lncRNA from 1 species